GUUUGAGGGUGGCUCUGGAUAUGACUAUUCUUAUGCAGGGGGGCGCGGUUCAUAUGGAGAUCUUGGUGGACCCAUCAUCACAACACAAGUAACGAUUCCCAAAGAUUUGGCAGGAUCUAUUAUUGGAAAGGGAGGCCAGAGAAUCAAACAAAUACGUCAUGAGUCAGGAGCUUCGAUCAAAAUUGAUGAACCAUUAGAAGGCUCAGAAGAUCGGAUAAUAACUAUUACGGGAACACAGGACCAGAUACAAAAUGCACAGUAUUUACUGCAGAACAGUGUGAAGCAGUAUGCAGAUGUUGAAGGAUUCUAAUGCAAGAUUAUUUUUUCUUUUUUAUAGUGUGAAGCAGUAUUCUGGAAAGUUUUUCUAAGACUAGUGAAGAACUGAAGGAGUCCUGCACCCUUUUUUUUUUUUUUUAUCUGCUUCUGUUUAAAAAGCCAACAUUCCUCUGCUUCAUAGGUGUUCUGCAUUUGAGGUGUAGUGGAAUCUUUGCUGUCCACCAGAUGUAAUGUUUUAGUUCCUUACAAAUAACGUGGGGGGAGGGAAGGGGCGCACGAGACUAACAUUGAAAUUUUGAAGCAGCAGCAGAGAGAGUGGAUUUUAUUUUUGUCCAUUGUUGGUGGUAAAUUGUAAUGUUUUUCUGUAAUUGUUGUGAACACCCUGCUUUAUGUACAUUUUAUUUUUUUUGAAGGGCGGAGAAUACUGGUUGUCCACAUGUCCUUGGCAUCCUUUGAGGGCAGUGUGCAGAAUGUAAUGCUCUUUUGUAAGAAACAUUUUAUGAUUUUUAAAUAAAUUUAGUGAACCUA